AAUAGAGCAGCAGAGUGAUGUGCUAUGCUGUUCCUACUUGGAAACAUGCGGAGAAGAGAAAGAAUACUUUUGCCUUCCCAGAUGUAAAUUUACGGAAGCGUACCCUCGGUGAUAAUUCCAGUCUUUGUGCUCCUCGGGGACAGAGAUGCAGAGCUCCAAGUCUGUGAUGGAUCUUGAACUUCCUUCUUCCACAGCAAAUGUCUGGGUAUCACGUUUACAGAAAUCUCAGAGAACCACUGGGAAAGGUCCAGGUGUCAUACCUAUAGCCUCAGGAGAGCUGGGGUGGUGAGCUGGUUUCAGUAGCCCAGCAGAAGAAAGGAACACACUCUUGUGCGAAAGCUGCAAGCAUCAAGGAACUGGAGGAAGCUUUGCAAAUUUUUGAGUCAGACACUGGUGCGAUUAAAUCUGAUCUUUGAAUGGAGUAACGUAUGGAAUGGAUUGGAAGUGGGAGAAAGUGAAUAAGCCAAACUGUUAGGUCAAAUGACAACUACCCUCCUUUUAUCGAUGAGGAAAUUGAGGCACCAAGAGAGACUUCAUCUGGAAGACCAUGCAAGAAGUAGGGGUUGUCUUCGAGAAGACAGUUGGUGGCUGCAAGACAGAGGAGACUUACAUUUUGCUGUACACUCUUGUAUCUUUUGGAUUUUAUACUGUUUCUAUUACUUCUUUAAUUUUUAAAACUUGUACUUGACAUAUAAUAUUAUAUUGGUUUCAGGUGUACACCAUAGCGAUUUGACACUUAUAUACCUUAUGAAGUGAUCACCACCGUGAGUCUAGUAACCAUCCACCACUGUACAAAAUCAUUAUGAUGAAAUUGACUAGAUUCCCUAUGCUUACAUUAUACCCUUGUGACUAAUUUCUUUUAUAACUGGGAGUUUGUAUCUCUUAAUCCCCUUCACCUUUUUCGCCCAACCUCCCA